CAGACCCCUGAGACCUGUGUCUUGGAAGGAAAACAGGACUCAUCUCUCUCUCUUUUAAUUAGAGAAGAAAAUGUUGUCUGAAGUCUUCAGCAGCUCCUCAAGUCUCCUUGGCCAGAUCUGGAUAAGAGGAUUUCUAUAGCCUCUCUUGUUGUAGGUGGGAUGUCAUUAGAGCUUUCCUGGUUAGAAGAAGCUCUCAUCCACCCUGGUUGCCUAAGGUGCUACCUGUCCAAAGACAAUCCAGAGGCCUUGGGAAGAAAUAGAUGGUUUCCAUCCCUGAAAUGACCACCAAGAAGGCACACCCAGGCAACUCCUCUCUCACCUUAGACCUACUGAGAAUCUCUGCUGGUUCUGCCACUUAAAAUGGACACUUCAGUGCAAGAAGAAUCUUCUGAGUCUGAUGUAAUUGGUAUGAUGAUUACAAGAAUGGUUUCAAAGUUUAUGUCUUGUCAAAACCAUUAAGUUGUACAAUUCUAAUGAUUGAAAUUUGCUAUAUGUAAGUCAUACUUGAAAAGCUUGCUAAAAAAUGAAAUAAAACUAAAACAAAG
ensembl:lncRNA